CUACGGGUCGCUCCAGUGAGGAAUAUUGCACAAUGGGGGGAACCCUGAUGCAGCAACGCCGCGUGGAGGAUGACGCAUUUCGGUGUGUAAACUCCUUUUAUAUGUCAAGAAAAUGACGGUAGCAUAUGAAUAAGCACCGGCUAACUCCGUGCCAGCAGCCGCGGUAAUACGGAGGGUGCAAGCGUUACUCGGAAUCACUGGGCGUAAAGGACGCGUAGGCGGGUUGGAAAGUCAGGUGUGAAAUCCUACAGCUUAACUGUAGAACUGCACUUGAAACUUCUAAUCUAGAGUAUGGGAGGGGGAGAUGGAAUUAGUGGUGUAGGGGUAAAAUCCGUAGAUAUCACUAAGAAUACCUAAAGCGAAGGCGAUCUCCUGGAACAUUACUGACGCUAAGGCGUGAAGGCGUGGGGAGCAAACAGGAUUAGAUACCCUUGUAGUC
rnacentral:rRNA from 1 species